rnacentral:rRNA from 1 species
AUGGAGAACAGGAUUGUCAUUGCAGAUUGUGGGGCUAUAAACUUGCUAGUUGGUCUUCUUCAUUCACCAGAUGCCAAGAUCCAAGAAAAUGCAGUGACAUCCCUCCUCAAUCUGUCCAUCAGUGAUAACAAUAAGAUUGCCAUCGUGAAUGCAUAUGCUAUUGAUCCUCUCAUCCAUGUCCUGGAAACAGGGAACCCUGAAGCUAAAGAGAAUUCAGCAGCUACUUUGUUCAGUCUCUGUAUUACUGAAGAAAACAAAGUGAGUGUUGGACGAUCUGGUGCCAUCAAGUCUCUCGUGGACUUGCUGCGAAAUGGGACCCCGCGAGGAAAAAAAGAUGCAGCCCAUGCACUGUUUAAUUUAUCCAUACUUGAUGAGAACAAGGGUCGCAUUGUGCAAGCUGAUGCGGUGAAGCACCUAGUUAAGCUUAUGGAUCCUGCUGCUGGAAUGGUCGACAAAGCUGUAGUUGUCUUGGCAAAUCUUGCUUUGAUAGCAGAAGGGAGGACUGCGAUUGGGCAGGCGCGUGGUAUUCCAGCCCUUGUUGAUGUUGUCGAACUGGGUUCGGCGAGGGGGGAGGAAAAUGCUGUUGCGGCAUUGCUUCAGCUAUGCAAAAACAACAACAGAUCUUGCAGCAUAGUUCUUCAAGAGGGUGUUUUGCCCCCUUUAGUCACACUGUCACGGUCAGGAACAUCGCGAGCAAGAGAGAAGGCGCAGGCUCUUCUCAGCUACUUCCACAGCCAGAGACGUGGGAACUCGGGAAGGGGAUGA